GGCUCGGUUAGUUGGUAAAGCACUUGUCUAGCGAAUAAGGGUCGUGAGUUCAAAUCUCACCUGAGCUG
rnacentral:tRNA from 1 species